AUGAACCCGUUUUUGUAAAGGUGAAUAAAGUAAGGCAAGGGCACUUUAAUUUAUUCUUUCACAUCCAAGUGUUUCUCUUGCAAAUUUUAAGAAAUGAGGGACGCCAUUGUCAAAUUCCACCGUUAGAUGACCCUUUGAAUCUUGCCGGUUAUACAUCCAAGUUCGAUCAUCAUCGGUCAUUCUACAAAUUUUAAACCAAUACAAUUAGGAUACCGAUACAUUGGAUAUCGUAUUUCCAUUAUAAGGAAAAAAAGCAUGAUUUUAGUUAAUAUAGAGAUGGGUCUGAUUUUAGUUAAUUAUAGAGAACUAACUAAUAAAGAAAUGGAGGAAUGGGGGCAUUGGAACAAUGGGGGUAUACAAUUAGUGGGAAAAACCGUUUUGACUUCAACAUAACUUAAGAUUCUUUAGAUUAUUCACCAAUCAUAUAGUUCAAACACACACCUAAGAUUCUUUAGAUUAUUCACCAAUCAUAUAGUUCAAACACACACCUAAGAUUCUUUAGAUUUGACUUCAACAUGUUUAAAAUAAAAUUUGAUUUAUACUUUCUAAGUGUUUAGAUUUGGUUACAUUACUUACAUUAGUAUAUUUGUCUUUUAAACAGAAUUUUAAACCCAUGAUUUAAACAGAACUGAACAUAAACAGAACAUAACUGAACAAUACACCGAAACAAAACAGAACAAUAACUGAACAUAACUGGACAAUCAUGAUUUAAACAGAACAUAAACAUAAAUAAAACAUGACUAGCAAUUAGGAAUGAGGAAAUGACCACAUCUAUUGAGGAAUGAGGAAAUGAACAUAAUCAGAACAUGACUAAUAUAAACACAUAUUUUGCAAUAAAGUAAUAAACUAUUUCGAGGGGAUUUCUGUCAUCUAUUGCUUGUUCCCCAAAUCAAUUUCGAGGGGAUUUCAAUGGAUUGGGAGAAGAACAGAAUCGAGAUUAAAAAUGGAUUUUAAAAUAAAUUACCUUUUGAAGGAUUGAAGUCACCGGCCGGAUAUCUCGCCGAAACAGGAAGUCGCCGUUGCUGGAAGAAGUCGCACAUAGGAGGAUCGAUGUCGGAAGAAGUCGCACUCUCUGCCCAUGUCGGAGGAUUGAAGUCGCGCUGCCGGAGUAUUGAAGUCGCCGCUGCCGGAAGAAGUCGCACACAGGAGGAUCGAUGACGGAAGAAGUCGCACUCACUGCCCACGUCGGAGGAUUGAAGUCGUGCUGCCGGAGUUCGCCUUUGUCGAAAGAAUUGGGGUUUAAGAGUGAGGAGUUGGGGUUUAAGAU
rnacentral:lncRNA from 1 species